UUCUGUUUGAUCCUGCCAGAGGUCACUGCUAUCGGGGUUCGAUUAAGCCAUGCGAGUCGAGAGGGUUCGGCCCUCGGCGUACUGCUCAGUAACACGUGGAUAACCUGCCCUAGGGAAGGGGAUAACCCCGGGAAACUGGGGAUAAUACCCUAUAGAUUACAGAUGCUGGAAUGCCCUGUAAUCCAAAGUUCCGACGCCCUAGGAUGGAUCUGCGGCCGAUUAGGUUGUUGUUGGGGUAAUGGCCCAACAAGCCCGUAAACGGUACGGGUUGUGGGAGCAAGAGCCCGGAGUUGGAUUCUGAGACACGAAUCCAGGCCCUACGGGGCGCAGCAGGCGCGAAAACUUUACAAUGCGGGCAACCGUGAUAAGGGAACCUCGAGUGCCUGUAAAUGCAGGCUGUUCAGGUGCCUAAAACACACCUGAAGAAAGGGCCGGGCAAGACCGGUGCCAGCCGCCGCGGUAAUACCAGCGGCUCGAGUGGUGGCCGCUUUUAUUGGGCUUAAAGCGUUCGUAGCUGGGUUGUUAAGUCUCUUGGGAAAUCUGGCGGCUUAACCGUCAGGCGUCUAAGGGAUACUGGCAAUCUUGGAACCGGGAGAGGUGAGGGGUACUUCGGGGGUAGGAGUGAAAUCCUGUAAUCCUCGAGGGACCACCUGUGGCGAAGGCGCCUCACCAGAACGGCUUCAACAGUGAGGGACGAAAGCUGGGGGAGCAAACCGGAUUAGAUACCCGGGUAGUCCCAGCCGUAAACUAUGCGCGUUGGGUGUAUCGGUGACCACGAGUUACCGAGGUGCCGAAGGGAAACCGUGAAACGUGCCGCCUGGGAAGUACGGUCGCAAGGCUGAAACUUAAAGGAAUUGGCGGGGGAGCACCACAACAGGUGGAGCCUGCGGUUUAAUUGGACUCAACGCCGGGAAGCUCACCGGAUAAGACAGCAGAAUGAUUGCCGGGCUGAAGACUCUGCAUGACUAGCUGAGAGGAGGUGCAUGGCCGUCGUCAGUUCGUACUGUGAAGCAUCCUGUUAAGUCAGGCAACGAGCGAGACCCA
rnacentral:rRNA from 1 species